UCGAAAAUAGUUAAUUUUUGGACCAUUUUACCCCCGGUUCCGAAACCUAUCAAUAUGGGUGUCAUUGGACUCCUUGUGACGUGUAUGUUUCAUUGUUGAUAGUGGGUUGUCAUUCCGGGCGCUGAAUUCGAGAGUUGCUUGUCCGGUGGAGGUAUUCGAGUGCGGCUUCGGCAAUUGAGAUACUAGUCGGGGUACCCCACGUGGCAGUUAAUAUUCUAGCGGAUUGUGUAUUCUCAGAUUAGUGGUGAGGUCCCAGAAUUCGGAUCGUCACUAGUCUAUCUUUUAUUUUUCAGUCUUUUGUAUCAUUCAGAGACUUAUGUUGUAUCUUCAUAUUCGAACCUUGUAUUAGAUGCUCUUUAUACUUAUGACACCAGGUUUUGGGAUAA